rnacentral:rRNA from 1 species
AGAGUUUGAUCAUGGCUCAGAUUGAACGCUGGCGGCAGGCCUAACACAUGCAAGUCGAGCGGGGACUUCGGUCCUAGCGGCGAACGGGUGAGGAAUGCUUGGGAAUCUGCCUGGUAGUGGGGGAUAACGUUCCGAAAGGAACGCUAAUACCGCAUACGUCCUACGGGAGAAAGGGGGGGAUCUUCGGACCUCUCGCUAUCAGAUGAGCCCAAGCGGGAUUAGCUAGUUGGUGAGGUAAAGGCUCACCAAGGCGACGAUCCCUAGCUGGUCUGAGAGGAUGAUCAGCCACACUGGAACUGAGACACGGUCCAGACUCCUACGGGAGGCAGCAGUGGGGAAUAUUGGACAAUGGGCGAAAGCCUGAUACAGCCAUGCCGCGUGUGUGAAGAAGGCCUUCGGGUUGUAAAGCACUUUAAGCGAGGAGGAAGGUUCGUCACCUAAUACGUGACGGAAUUGACGUUACUCGCAGAAUAAGCACCGGCUAACUCUGUGCCAGCAGCCGCGGUAAUACAGAGGGUGCAAGCGUUAAUCGGAAUUACUGGGCGUAAAGCGCGCGUAGGCGGUUGUGUAAGUUGGAUGUGAAAUCCCCGGGCUUAACCUGGGCUCUGCAUUCAAAACUGCACGGCUAGAGUAUUGGAGAGGAAGGUAGAAUUCCAGGUGUAGCGGUGAAAUGCGUAGAGAUCUGGAGGAAUACCGAUGGCGAAGGCAGCCUUCUGGCCAAAUACUGACGCUGAGGUGCGAAAGCAUGGGGAGCAAACAGGAUUAGAUACCCUGUUAGUCCAUGCCGUAAACGAUGUCAACUAGG